rnacentral:rRNA from 1 species
UACGUAGGGGGCGAGCGUUGUCCGAAGUUACUGGGCGUAAAGCGCGCGUAGGCGGUCUCUUAAGUCCGGGGUGAAAGGUUCAGCGCUCAACGCGAACAGUGCCCUGGAGACUGGGGGACUUGAGUGUGGGAGGGGGCAGUGGAAUUCCGGGUGUAGCGGGUGAAAUGCGCAGAUAUCAGGAGGAACACCAGUGGCGAAGGCAGGUC